rnacentral:lncRNA from 1 species
CACACCCCAUGUAGCCCCUUUCCACAUGGAAUCUGGGCUGGCCUGUGUGAUGAAUAGAAUAUGAUGGAAGUGAAAGUGGUGACCUCCAAGGCGAAGUCAAAAAGGCAUUGCAGCUUCUGACAUGGCCCUUGGGUCAGCUGCUCUGCAGGAAGCCAGCUGCCAUCCCAUGAGGAUGCUCAAGUAGCCCUGUGGAGGGGCCCCAGGGACACCGGGCACGGAUCAACAGCCGGCACCAAUCUGCCAGCCAUGAGUGAGCCACCUUGGGAGGGGAACCUCCAGUCCCGGUCCAGCCUUCAGAUGACUGCAACCUCAACUGACAUCCAACUACAACUUAGUGAGUGACUUUGAGCCAGAACUGCCCAGCCAAGCUGUCCCUGAAUUCCUGACCUACAGAAAUCAUGAGAGAUCAUCAGUGGUUAUUGUGCACAGGGUCUGAGACAAUCACAGCAGAGGAGCCUGCAGACAGCAGCGCAGGUGGGAGCUCAUGGCGUGGGAAGAGGCUACACAUUUCGGUGCCUGGAUUCCAAUCUACCUCCUUCACUGACUUGCUGUGACCCAAGGCAAAGCUGAUUAGUCUCCCUGAGCCUCAGUUCCCUCAAGUGUGAAAGUCAUAAUAACUGAAUUUUCAGUGCCACCAGGAUUGGAGAACACCUAUGAAUCUACCUGUAAAACUAAUGUUGGACAAAUGCUGCCUGAAGCUGAGCACGUCAGUGAGGAACAGCAGGACACACAGAGAGAGGGAAAGAAAGCACAGAAGAAAGAUGCUUCAAGAAAGGAAAACAUGGGUAGAGGGCAAGUUGAAAUGCCUAUAUUGCUAACUGUGGUGCUUCUUACAAAUGAGUCCUAUAUAUGACUAGUAUAUGUCAGACAUAUGUCAUAUAUGACAUACAUGUCAUAUAUGUCAUACGUAUAUACAUGU